rnacentral:rRNA from 1 species
GACGAACGCUGGCGGCGUGCCUAAUACAUGCGAGUCGAGCGAACAGAUGAGGAGCUUGCUCCUCUGACGUUAGCGGCGGACGGGUGAGUAACACGUGGAUAACCUACCUAUAAGACUGGGAUAACUUCGGGAAACCGGAGCUAAUACCGGAUAAUAUAUUGAACCGCAUGGUUCAAUAGUGAAAGACGGUUUUGCUGUCACCUAUAGAUGGAUCCGCGCCGCAUUAGCUAGUUGGUAAGGUAACGGCUUACCAAGGCAACGAUGCGUAGCCGACCUGAGAGGGUGAUCGGCCACACUGGAACUAAGACGCGGUCCAGACUCCUACGGGAGGCAACAGUAGGGAAUCUUCCGCAAUGGGCGAAAGCCUGACGGAGCAACGCCGCGUGAGUGAUGAAGGUCUUCGGAUCGUAAAACUCUGUUAUUAGGGAAGAACAAAUGUGUAAGUAACUAUGCACGUCUUGACGGUACCUAAUCAGAAAGCCACGGCUAACUACGUG